rnacentral:tRNA from 1 species
GUCUCCGUAGCUCAGUCGGUAGAGCAGCUGACUCUUAAUCAGUUGGUCGUCGGUUCGAAUCCGCCCGGGGGCACCA